rnacentral:rRNA from 1 species
UACAGAGGGGGCAAGCGUUGUUCGGAAUUACUGGGCGUAAAGGGCGCGUAGGCGGCCUUCUAAGUCGAACGUGAAAUCCCCGGGCUCAACCCGGGAACUGCGUCCGAUACUGGAAGGCUUGAAUCCGGGAGAGGGAUGUGGAAUUCCUGGUGUAGCGGUGAAAUGCGCAGAUAUCAGGAGGAACACCGGUGGCGAAGGCGGGUCUCUGGGCCGGAACUGACGCUAAGGAGCGAAAGCGUGGGGAGCGAACAGG